AUGCUGCUCUACAGCUUGCUCUGGGUGUUCCUGGCCUUCAUCUCCUCUGGAUCUGGUGUUAUUCAAGUCCAGGCAGCCACAACCAGUCAAAUGGGGGCAGCAGUCACCCUGAACUGCCAGUUUAAAAUGAGUGCGAGUCAGUACUAUAUUUUUUGGUAUAAGCAGCUUCCCAGUGGAGAGAUGACUUUUCUUAUUCGUCAGGAUUACUAUAACCAGAAUGCAAAGAAUGGCCGCUAUGCUGCAAACUUUCAGAAAGCAGGUGGAUCCACCAGCCUCACCAUUUCCGAUUUACAGCUAGAAGAUUCUGCAGAGUAUUUCUGUGCUUUCUGGGAACUCACAGUGCUUGAAUUAAUAGGAAAAGCUGAACAAAAACCCCAGAGCCCAAUAAAAGGGAGCCCCCAAACACCCGCUUCAGGACCCAAGCUGAAAUGCACACCUGCAGACCCCAGUUCCAUCAGCUUAAAAUACUUCUUUAAUACUAAUUGCUUUUUCCACACCCCUGUUCAUGAUCUGCCUAACUUAAUUACCACGGAAAGACAAGUAGACAAAAUAAACGUCUGUGGUGAGCUGGAUAUUUUCCCCAUCUGUGCGUAG